CAAUAACACUACAGAAACAAGUAAAGAAUGUUUAUUCAUAUCUUUAUAUCACAAACUUGAAUCUAUAACUAUGUGACGAUAUAUCUCUCAAAUUGUGACAAAAACUAAACUCAUCUAAAGUGAUAAACUAAUCUGAUGCAAACUAAGAUUCACAAAAGCCUAAAUCUCAUUCAUGAGCUAAAUCUCAACCAUCAAGAACGAAACAUAUAAAGCUAUCAAAUGUUAGAUUCAGUUCAAUCAACAAGAACUAGAAACUAAAAACAGGACACUACACCCAUAAACACCCACCACCGCCUCCUCGGAAGAAGCAGAAGGUGAACACAGGAAAGCCGGUGGGGCUUUUCAUUGAAACUGUGAAAAUUUAUAAAAGUUACUAUAAAAGUCAAUACUCUCCACUAUAAAAGUCAUUGCUUUGAACUAAAACCCCACCCACCAUUAUUGUUUUCAUUACCUUGUCCACAAAAACACUAAAAAAAAACUCACGAAACUGUUACUACAACAUUACUGUAUUUUUUUUAGAUUCUGAAUACAUUCCCAAGAACUAGAAGAGAAUCAUAGUAAUCAAAUCUAACAACUGAAAAAUACAAUGACAUAU
rnacentral:lncRNA from 1 species